AUCAGCUGGAAAAUACUCUGAAUCAGUUCCUCCUUGAAACAGUUUUGUUAAUUCAGUAUUAUUUUGGUCACAAACUGUAUUUUUGCAGCGACUGAGCUUAAACCCUGCAGACACUGAGUCUGGUCCAGGAACCAAUCAGGAGACGGCUGAUGCUGAUGAUGGUGUUUCCUAUGCUUCCAUCAGCUUCACCAAGAAGACCAAGAAUAAAGCCCGGGCUUGUGGGGAUGAUGAUGACACUGUGACUUACAGCACUAUGAAAGUUCCCUCCUCACCUGCUGGACUUUCCACUGAUCCCAGCGAUCUCUAUUCCACCAUCAACAAACCAAAGAAAUAGGGUGUUACUCAUGAAAUGUUUCUAGUUGUUUUUUCUGGAUGCUGCAUGAAUGCUUGGAUCAUAGAGUAACUUCCUGUUUGUUCUUUUUAAUGUAGUCUAGUGAUAGUUACCUUUAUAUCAAAUUAGGUAUCCACACAGAAUAUUGUUAUUAAACUUUUAUUCAUUUGCUGUGUGUCAUUUUUAACAAUACAAAAAGGGCCAUAAAACUAGGCUUGAGAGGUGUAUCUCACUGUAUCCAUGACGAUAUUAAACUUCCUGUUUGUGACAUCUUAAAAACAUGACAGCAAAAACACUUAAUAGUCAACUUAAUUUCACUUUUCAGACCCUUUUAAAACAGAAGAAAAAAGAAUAUGAGUGUUGAAAACAUGUCUGAUUGUGCACGCCUAGUUUUAAAGAUUAGUGUGAACCAAAAUCCUAAAGUCGUGCAUACUGUUUGUCGGCUUUGAUGCUAACAGGCUAACUUUCUUACUGCGCUGUGCAGACUUGCUUUCCAGUUUCUUGGUAAGUAGAGUUUGAACUUUUCUAAUUUGUGCUAAACUUUCUGUUAUGAAUAUAAUUCCAUGUCCAUUGCAAAUAUGAUCUGUGUUGUUGGAUGAUAUAGGUUAAAGUAGCUUAAAAUCCAUCUUUUAAGCUGCUUUUAGUGAUUAUUCUAAAAAUAAAUAAUGAAUAUUUUGGAGUCUUUAGUCAUUGUUAUAAUUUAGUCUUAGUUUUAGAGUUGCAUUUGCUCCAUCAGUGUUUCCUGUAUUUUCCUCUUGUAUCAGCUCCCCAUGUUAAGUUCAUUCAUGUGUUUACAUUUCCACAUUUAGUUUUGAUUGUCUCCUGUUUUUUAUUUAAAUAUAUAUUUUCUUGUCUGGUUAUCCAGCUGUAUCCAUGUCCAAUAAUUACCCUCAUCUACAUUUAGCAUUGUCUUUCCUUCAGACUUUGUCUUAGUGCUUGUUAUUCUCCCUGUCAGUUCCCAGUUGAUUUUAGACUCCUUUUUUAUUCUCUCAUGGGACUUUUCAUCAGUUGAAGUAAAGGAUUGCUUUUCA